UCACAUACAUCAAAGUCUUCUUGCGGCCAUCAGCACCCGCGUCCUGCAAGAUGCGUGGCACCUCCCGGAGCGAAUUCUAAAGGGAAAAGCCAGCGGAGCCCUUUCUCCUUGGCUGUCCCUUGCUUUGAGCAGAGAGGUGAGCAGUUCUGAAGUCAGGUAGAGCCAGGGAAGGGCGGAGUUGCACCUUUACAGGCUGGGAGAAAGGGCAGAGUUGCACUUUUACAGGUGGCCAUGGCGCUGUUGUCAGCGGGGUGGGGGGUGGCGAGCAUUGACCGGUAGUCAGUGACCACCUGCAGAUGCCGCUGGCCGCAGCAGUGGUGUCCAGCAGCGAUCGCGGGCUGCCCACAGACACCAUCGGUGGUGACAGGGGGGUGGGGGGUGAGUGCCUGCAGGUGCCACUAGCAGUGCCGACAGCGCCUUUUCACAGGGAGUGCACUGCCAAUCUCAAGGGGUGCACAUGCACCCGUGUGCAACCCCCUGGUGUUGCCAGUGGCUACGGACCAGGCCCAGGGCCAGUUGUUGCACUUCCAAGCACUAAUUGUGCAGCUGGCUUUUUUUAAUAGCUGGAUGGCCUUUUUUAUGGCAUGAGAAUUACUAUGCCCGUGCGGUUGGUCUAUGUUUAUUGCACAGGUGACCAGUAAAUGGCGCGCGCCAGAGGCCAAACUGAAUGAGACGCAGGAGCUGUCGGGAACCCAGGUCCCCCUCAGCCGGGGCCACUUCACAGCUGACUUUUCCUUGCUGGUCUCAGCCUCCCUGGGAGCCAGGCGGGAUCAGGCAGCCCCGGGCCCAUUGCUUCCCUUGCCUAGGCAAGGGGGGCAGAGGAGCUCGUCUCUGGAGGGCGGCGGGGGUAGAGCGCGUCCCGCCCCGGCGGGGGAGGCCCCCGGUGAGAAGCAGGAAGCAACACGUGGCGCGGCCCGCGCAGGACUACAUGUCCCAGGAGCCCGCGGGCGGAGCAUGCGCGCUGAGGCUGGGGGGGCUAUAAAAGGCCGUGCGCACUACCACGCGGUCUCUUUACGCUCGGGCUCGGGGCAAGUGUAUGGUUGUGCCGCAAUCCGCCGCCAUCCGCCCUGGUGCCCGGCUCCCGGCGCCUCCGCCGGCGGCAGCAGCAUGCCCCGAGCAGCCGGAUCGCGGAGAGGCGGCCCCGUGCUGGACGCAGGGCUGUAGGACCGCACGUGCUGGACAUGGGUGCAACCGUGAGCUGGGACGUGGCCGGGUUAAUGGCAGGUGACCCGUUCAGUCGGCUUUGGAGCUGCUGCGCAGAGUGAGUGGGAAUGCCAGGCUGUGUGCACGUGGACAUGAGGAUCUGCUGAAGGUCCGGUGUGCUGGAGCAGCGUGGGCCAAGCAGUCAGCGCAGGGCAGGGGACCCACUGAGCCCUGCCAUGCCCUGUGAUGUUCUUCCUGGAGUCGCAGACCGUGCUUGGUGCAGACGGGUGAAAUGGUGAGCUGAGACAGCUGGAAAGUGGCCAGGUUAACAGCAGGCAGACCUGUUAACUUCAGCUAUGGAGCUGCUGCCUGGAGCAAGUGGGAAUGCCAGGCUGUAUGCACGUGGACAUGAGGGUCCUCUGAAGGUUAAAGAAUUGUCAAAGCAGAAGCUGGCCGACAGGCUGUUUUAUCUGGGUGAAUUAGAAAGUUCUCCCCUGCUCAUCACAUGUAUACUUGCCAAACAGACUGAAAGUAACCUUUGGUCAAAGUUGCUGUAUCCAUGUCACCCCACCACUCACUCCUUGACCAGAUAUCCCUCAAACUUGUGGAAAACAACAAAUAUUUAAUGUCCUGCCUCCAUUUAAGAGAAGCCAAGAGCUAUGAAUGUCUCAAAGUUUUGUGAGAAUAAAUUAAUUGGAAUGGA